rnacentral:lncRNA from 1 species
ACCCUUGUCACAUGAGCUUUCUUCCUUGUCUUCUUCAUCCUCCAUCUUCAUCCUAAUCUAGAUAAUAAACAAGAAUGGAAAAGCUACACUACUCUAUACUAAGCUAAACUAACACUAGGGAGAUGAAAGAGCUACAUUUCUGCAACUUCAAGCUUCUCCCGUAUGUCUCUCUCUAUUUUUCUGCUAUGAACUCCCCAUUCUCUCCAAUCCCCUAUUUUUGCAAUGCAUUUGGCUAUUUAAUGAUGAAAGGUGGUCAAGAAAUGAGGAUUACAUCUCCCUUUUACAGCUGGGAAUGUUUCUCACAUGUCUAGCAUCCAAUGUGAGUUGGUGGAGGUGAAAUUGAUUUUUUACGCGUACAGAGCAGCCUUUUCUGACCAGUGAUCCGAGCUGCUACAGUACCUCGGAUCCACUAACCCAGAAACAACCGAGGGUUCGGAUGAAUAGUGGAUCCGAGUGUGGAUCACUUGCUCUGUUUUUGGCCCAACUUCAACCAAUCUUUUCUUGAUGUUAGAGGCUGAACCAGCUCAUGUCUAAAACACGAAAGUUGUAGCCUUUUGAGUUAUCUUUCUAAUGCAUCAAGAAUCACCUCAUUUGGAUCUGUGUAGGCUGAGAUAUGACUGAAAUACCCUUGCCUGCUCAUUGCCCUAUUCCAGUUUCGACCAGUAGAAAUUUGCUAUUGUAAUUCGGCAUUUUGACCUGGAAAACCUUCAAACUGGAUUUAGAUGUCUUCACCAAAGUUGUAGUUCUAUCUCUUAUCUUCAAAUGGGUUCAAGAAUCAUCUCAAUCCGAUCAUUGUAACUCAAGUUAUAGCCGAAAUACGAAAAUGUGUCAAAACUGUCAAAAUACACAAAAUCCAAGUAAAAAGUGAUAAAAACCUCAUUUAAUCACUUAAAAACAUUUAUUCACCAAUUAUAGCCAAAAUGAUUCAUAUUCUUCCAAUAAUAUAACCAAAGUGACUAAAAAUAAUAUAAAAUGUCAUACAAUUAUUACGUAAAGUAGUCACUUAUCAAACUGCCCCACACUUAAAUCAUUGCUUGUCCUCAAGCAAUUCACACAUAAUCAAAUGCAAUGAUUCAAGAGGUGAAACAAUAUAUGCACUUUGUCCAAUUUAAUUCCUCAAGACUUGGAAAAUAAUUAUUAUAUAAUUAUUCAAUUUACACUAAAUACUCAUAAUAUCAAGUAAAGGAAAGAUAAUUAUACCCUAAAUUCAACAAGUUAAACUUAAUCUCUUACCCUAACCUAAUUUCACAAAUAAGCAAAUCACAUAGUCAAUUUAUAGCUUUCCUCCUCCUAUAAUCAUCUUUUUCUCAAAAUUCUAUAACUAAGAGGGAUUUAUUCACACAAAUUUUACUUAAAUAGUGAGAAUGCCUUUUUACGCGAAAAUCGACACUUUUAGGUGAAGAUCCCCGGUUACUCAACAUUUCACUUAUUCAAGUUGCCAUGCAUACUCUUAAUUCAAGUACCUUUUUACGCGAAUGUCGACAUUUGUUGAUGCCAACCCCCGGUUACUCGGUACAUGAAUCAUUGGAGUAGAACAAUUUUUAUUUACUUUCUCUUUUUUUUUUCUUUUUUGUUUUUUUCUUUUUUUUACUUUUUUUUUCUUUUUCAGAAAUAAAGGACAAUAAAUAGAUAACCCUCUUAGAAAAUAUAUAAGAAUAAUCAAAGGAUGAAUAUAACCUUUAUCGACUAUAUCAAUCACUUACUUGCAAAAUUAAGUAAAGAGAAGAAAUCUCAUUAAACAUGUAAAAUUAUAGGCAUAAUUUUCCUCACUUUACCAAAUAUACUUUCUAAAAUGUAAAAAUUCUAAUUGCAUAAUACUAUUUCCAAGUUAAAUGAGGACUAAACCUUCCAACAUACAUAUAAAGUUUCAACAUUUGGAAGAAUAUAAACAUUUAAAAUUGGAACAAAUUAGCCCUUUUUGAAUGAAAAUACAAAAAUUUGAAGAACUUUUGGGCCAUAGUGAAAUAUUGGAAAAGAUUUUAGAAAAAUUUUUUUACAGAGUUUCUCCUUAUAAAUGGAUGAAAACUCUGUGCCAACAAAUCCAAUUUCAAGCAAAUUAUUCACAUGGCAAAUAGUUCAAACAUAAUUCCAACAUUUCUAAGCAUUUAAAUCCACAAAAUAUCAUCACAUGGCAAGUAAAUGCAAGUUCAAUACUUUCCUCCCCCACACUUAAACUUCACAUUGUCCUCAAUGUGAGAAAGGAAAAAUAACGAAAAUAAGAGAAAGUAAUACUCCCCUAAUGAACUUGCGCGAUCCGAAUCCAUGGCAAUGUGAUGAAUUUCCAACUUUACUUGAAAGAAUGGAGACUUCAAUUAAUGCACCUUGAAAAAAAAAACAAAAAUACAAUUUUUAAGAAUAAAAGCUUGCAACCAACAAGAAGAAAAGUGGAGUUGAAGGAGGAAAAAGAGGGAAGAAUGAAGAAAAGUGGUCCGAGGCUUCGUUUGGAAAGGAUCCGAGGUCGUUUUUGAAAGGAUCCGAGGUCGGAUCAUGAUAAGUGAGCUCGGAUCAAGAAGCUCGAAUUUUUUCUGAUUGCAGAAGUGGAUCCGAGGCCUUGGAUCCAUAUGGAUCCGAGCUCGGAUCAAGAAGCUCGAAGUUUUUCUCUGAUUGCAGAAGUGGAUCCGAGGCCUUGGAUCCAUAUGGAUCCGAGGCCUUGGAUCCAUUGAAUCUGCACUUAUUGCAGAAUUUUUGCAAUUUUCAGUUUGACCUCAAUUCUUCAAAAUACACCCUAGAUCAUUUCUAUGUCAAAAUAAACCAUUCACACACAUGUAAAAUGAUCUAAACAUGCAUUCUAAACCUCUUUAAUGCAUCAAAAACCAUAAUUACUGAAUUUGAGGUAUUGAGAUCUUUGAUCAAACUUCGCCUUUUUCACCUCAUUUGGUCACUUUUGCAUCUUUUUCCAAAACCUACAAAUGAAAAAUAACAAAAUAACUCAAACUUAUACUUUAAACAUAAAAUCACUCCAAAGUAACACCAACUUAAACAAGCAUUGGGUUGCCUCCCAAUAAGCGCUUCUUUAAAGUCAAUAGCUUGACUAUAUCACCUCAUUUUUCAAGGAGGCUUAGUUAACGAAUAAUCCACCAUUUUAGGCCUUGGUGGAUCAUUGUAAGGUGACUUAAUAGAAAAAGCCACAUGAACUAAUGAUGUGAGAAAUGGAAGUGACUUAUCUAUUCCAAGUGUUUUAUAGAUAUUAUCUUGAAUAUGCACCACUUGAGAACUUACCAAAGGAAAUGUCAUGAGAGUAUCUUGAGCAGGAAUACCUUUAGAACCUAUACUUUCACUGCACUCCUCAAGAGGGGUGAAAAAUGAGUCAUUAAAACUCACCUCUUGAGGCUCAAAGUUAGUUCCAAAGAUAUUAUCAUGUGAAAUGGAUAUUUGCUCAUUAAAACACCAUUGAAAUUCAUCAUUUUCAUCCAAAUGCAAUCCAUUUUCACAUACAACAUUCCUACCAUUCAUGCUAGGAUCAUUUUGCAAAUUAUUAGAGGAAAUAACUUCACACAAUGCAUUCAAUUGCUCAUGUAUUCUACCAAAGUGAGAAGCUAAUUCAUCUAUUCUUUCCUCAAUCCUAUCAAAACGGUCAGAAGUCACAUUAGCUAAUUUUUCUAUAGCUAACUCCCAAGGUGGCUUAGAAUCAUUAGCUACCAUUUCAAUUGCCAACUCCCAAGAUGAUUUUGAUUCAUAUUGGACACAUUCAGGUUGGUAAUCAUAAAAAUACGGAUAAUCACUAUAUGCACAUUGAUUUUGCCAACCAUAAGCAGGAGAAUUGCUCCAAUUAGCACUGUAUUGAUCAAAACAAGGAUUGUAAUGCUCUAAUUUAUCAUAAUAAUCCACAUUUUGUGCUUGCAUACAUGUAUUAGUAGCAUGAUAACCUCCACACAAGUCACAAAUCACAUGAUAAGAAUUAAAAGCAUUAACAUUCCUCCUUUGCUCAAUUUCAUGCAUCAUGGUGUCCAUUUGAACUUGUAACUUAAUUACAUCAAAUUUUGCCUUUAAGCACCUUAAACCAUCUUCAAAAGACAUACAUUCAGUAAAUUCUUGGUUACCUCUAUUAAAGGAGCUUUGCACUUGGUAACCAUCCAUUACCAAUCUUCCAUUUCUCAAGCAUUGUCCUCCAAAUUGUCCUACCCUUCUCAUCACCUAAAAUUGCUUUUAAACAACUUAAGAGCAAAAUUAGUAAGAAGAAUAGGUGAUAAAACACAUACACAUAUAAAACACAGAAAAUAACAUUCACAGUAUAACUAAUAAUAUGUCUAAACUAAUAAAGUUACUCUUCACACCGAUAUUGCCAAAUCUUCCCCGGCAACGGCGCCAAAAACUUGACGUGCGCGGAGUAUACAUAUACAAUUAAGCUCAUCCUAAUCAAGUUUUACAUUUAUAAACUCCUAAAUACCCCACACGCGAUUUAUCGCAAGUAUACGAAUCGUGAGCGAGUAUAGGGUAUUAAGGGUCGAUCCCACAAGGAAGAUUGCAAUUACCGGUACUACUAAAGCUUCUCUAUUAUUUAGACUAUCAAUGAAUUAUAACAAAUUAAAACCUAUUGAAAUUAUACAAAAUAACAAAUGAAAGCUCCUUGGGUUGUGGUAUCCCUAACUACUCAUGCAAGUGCUAUAUUUGGAUCAUUGAAUACUACAUCUAGGCUAAUUAUGGUGUAAUUUCCUUAUGCAUUUGAAUCCUACUUUCGUAGUGAAUCAAUUAUACUCAUAACUAAUCCAUACCUAUUUUCAUGGUUAUGAAAUUAGCUACAAGUUCAUUUCUUCAAUGAAAUUACAUGAAAUGAAUCACUAAAAACCACAUAAGUGCACCUCUACUUUCGUGAGUGUACUCCCUAUGUUUAGCACUUCUUGAACUAGUGUUAAAUCUCAAUUUUCAUUGCAGAAACAACACCUUAGAUAAUCACAAUUAAUGGUACCAGAUUAAUCAUGAUUUCAAGAGCUAAAGUGCUAAAUAACUUGCUCAAAUCAUAGCAGUCAAAUAACCAAAUAAUAAACACUAACAAUUAUAGAAAGUUCAACCAAACCCAAGGUAUAAACUUUAGAAACACAUAUUGAACACAAAAUCCAGAACUUGUAUAUUAACUAAAUUUGGAAUCAAAUACAAAAGAUAAAGAGUUUGGAAGGAAUACAACCCUUGUCACAUGAGCUUUCUUCCUUGCCUUCUUCAUCCUCCAUCUUCAUCCUAAUCUAGAUAAUAAACAAGAAUGGAAAAGCUACACUACUCUAUACUAAGCUAAACUAACACUAGGGAGAUGAAAGAGCUACAUUUCUGCAACUUCAAGCUUCUCCCGUAUGUCUCUCUAUUUUUCUGCUAUGAACUCCCCAAUCCCUAUUUUUGCAAUGCAUUUGGCUAUUUAAUGAUGAAAGGUGGUCAAGAAAUGAGGAUUACAUCUCCCUUUUACAGCUGGGAAUGUUUCUCACAUGUCUAGCAUCCAAUGUGAGUUGGUGGAGGUGAAAUUGAGUUUUACGCGUACAGAGCAGCCUUUUCUGACCAGUGAUCCGAGCUGCUACAGUACCUCGGAUCCGUAUGGAUCCGAGCUCGGAUCCACUAACCCAGAAACAACCGAGGGUUCGGAUGAAUAGUGGAUCCGAGUGUGGAUCACUUGCUCUGUUUUUGGCCCAACUUCAACCAAUCUUUUCUUGAUGUUAGAGGCUGAACCAGCUCAUGUCUAAAACACGAAAGUUGUAGCCUUUUGAGUUAUCUUUCUAAUGCAUCAAGAAUCACCUCAUUUGGAUCUGUGUAGGCUGAGAUAUGACUGAAAUACCCUUGCCUGCUCAUUGCCCUGUUCCAGCUUCGACCAGUAGAAAUUUGCUAUUGUAAUUCGGCAUUUUGACCUGGAAAACCUUCAAACUGGAUUUAGAUG